rnacentral:rRNA from 1 species
UACGUAGGGGGCAAGCGUUGUCCGGAUUUAUUGGGCGUAAAGAGCGUGUAGGCGGCCUGACAGGUCUGCUGUGAAAACUCGAGGCUCAACCUCGAGAUGUCGGCGGAAACCGUCUGGCUAGAGUCCGGAAGAGGAGAGUGGAAUUCCUGGUGUAGCGGUGAAAUGCGCAGAUAUCAGGAAGAACACCUAUGGCGAAGGCAGCUCUCUGGGCCGUAACUGACGCUGAGGAGCGAAAGCAUGGGGAGCGAACAGG